rnacentral:rRNA from 1 species
CACGCCCUAAACGUUCUUCACUAGCUUUCGGGGGAAUCGACCCCCUCGGAGGCGAAGCUAACGCGUUAAGUGAAGCGCCUGGGUAGUACGGCCGCAAGGCUAAAACUCAAAGGAAUAGACGGGGACUUGCACAAGUAGUGGAUUAUGCGGUUUAAUUCGAUGACAAACGAAAAACCUUACCAAGGUUAGAAAUCUACGUGAAGCUUCACAGAAAUGAGUAGCGUCCGCAAGGACUCGUAGACAGGUGA